UGAACUGACACUUGCCUCAGCUGAUUAAUCAGAGAUUCAGGCUGUGAUUACCAAUUUCCCAUACAGUAUAAAAAGCUUGAAAGCUUCAGAACAAAUCUGGAAAACAGUCUUCCCCAAGAGGUAGAAACACAUGAUGAUGGCAAUGCAUCUGGCCAAAAGUAUGGCUUUGUUCUUCACAGUGAUAAAUGUCUUUCUUGGUCUACUUUGGCAGAAUGCAAGGCAGCCCUGCUAUCUCAUCAAAAGCCCAAACCCACUGGUGGGCUUCACAAGCAAUCAAAGGGAAAGAGUACUGAAGAACCUGAAGGAAUGAGGUCAACACUUUAGUAAAACUUCAGGUUGUGGCUUUGAAGGAAAGGGCUGAAAUAAACCUA